CUUUUUUUUGUAGUUUAAUAAAACAUUACAUUUUCAAUGUAAAAUUGAUAAUAUAUUUUAUCCAAAAAU
rnacentral:tRNA from 1 species